GGACUAUAGCUUAGGGGCAGAGCACCUGCUUGGCAGGCAGAAGGUCCCAGGUUCAAUCCCUGGCAUCUCCC